rnacentral:ribozyme from 19 species
AGUCGUUGUGGCGACUAUAACCAAGCUCUUUAAGCCACAAGCGUUGCUGAUGAGGUUUCAUAACAUCAGCAGGUAGAG